UGCAUCGGCCGGGAAUCGAACCCAGGCCGCCCGCGUGGCAGGCGAGUAUUCUACCACUGGACCAUCGAUGC